ensembl:lncRNA
GUGUUUGUCGUUACACACAGUGGCGCCGGUGUAGGGCUGGGCAAUUGGAGGGCCUGCCUGACUUCAGCUGUCUCUGAUACUCACACAGUCAGCCUCUCUCUCUUUGUCUCUCUCUCUCUCUCUCUCUCCCCAUCUUCUCUCUCUCUCUCUCUCUCUCUCUCUCUCUCUCUCUCUCCCCAUCUUCUCUCUCUCUAUCCUCUCUCUCUUUCCUCCCUAUCUCUCUCUCUUUUCUCUCUCUUUCCUCUCUCUCNNNNNNNNNNNNNNNNNNNNNNNNNNNNNNNNNNNNNNNNNNNNNNNNNNNNNNNNNNNNNNNNNNNNNNNNNNNNNNNNNNNNNNNNNNNNNNNNNNNNCCCUUCCUGCCGUUACCCUCCCCCUUCCUGCCCGUUACACCCCCCCCACCUGCCCGUACCCUCCCCCCCGUCCUGCCCGUUACACCCCCCCCACCUGCCCGUUACACUCCCCCCUUCCUGCCCGUUACACUCCCCCCUACCUGCCCGUUACACUCCCCCCUACUGCCCUUAACUCCCCUACCUGCCCGUUACACUCCUCCCCUUCCUGCCCGUUACACUCCCCCCUACCUGCCCGUUACACUCCCCCCUACCUGCCCGUUACACUCCCCCCUUCCUGCCCGUUACACUCUCCCCCCUUCCUGCCCGUUACACUCCCCCCCUUCCUGCCCGUUACACUCCCCCCUACCUGCCCGUUACACUCCCCCUACCUGCCCGUUACACUCCCCCCUACCUGCCCGUUACACUCCCCCUACCUGCCCGUUACACUCCCCCUACCUCGCCGUUACACUCCCCCCUACCUGCCCGUUACACUCCCCCUUCCUGCCCGUUACACUCCCCCUUCUGCCGUUUACACUCACCCCCCUUCCUGCCCGUUACACUCCCCCCCUACCUGCCCGUUACACUCCCCCCCUUCCUGCCCGUUACACUCCCCCCUUCCUGCCCGUUACACUCCCCCCCUACCUGCCCGUUCCACUCACCCCCUACCUGCCCGUUACACUCCCCCCCUUCCUGCCCGUUACACUCCCCCCUACCUGCCCGUUACACUCCCCCCUACCUGCCCGUUACACUCCCCCCUACCUGCCCGUUACACUCCCCCCCUACCUGCCCGUUACACUCCCCCCCCUACCUGCCCGUUACCACCCCUUCCUGCCCGUUACACUCCCCCCUUCCUGCCCGUUACACUCCCCCCUUACCUGCCCGUUACACUCCCCCCCUCCUGCCCGUUACACUCCCCCCUACCUGCCCGUUUCCACUCCCCCCUACUGCCUUUACACUCCCCCUUCCUGCCCGUUACACUCCCCCCUACCUGCCCGUUACCCCCCCCCCCCUACCUGCCCGUUACACUCCCCCCUACCUGCCCGUUACACUCCCCCCUACCUGCCCGUUACACUCCCCCCUACCUGCCCGUUACACUCCCCCCUUCCUGCCCGUUACACUCCCCCCUACCUGCCCGUUACACUCCCCCCUACCUGCCCGUUACACUCCCCCUCCCUGCCCGUUACACUCCCCCUCCCUGCCCGUUACACUCCCCCCUACCUGCCCGUUACACUCCCCCCUUCCUGCCCGUUACACUCCCCCCUUCCUGCCCGUUACACUCCCCCCUACCUGCCCGUUACACUCCCCCCUACCUGCCCGUUACACUCCCCCCUACCUGCCCGUUACACUCCCCCCCCCUUCCUGCCCGUUACACUCCCCCCCUUCCUGCCCGUUACACUCCCCCCUACAUGCCCGUUACACUCCCCCCUACCUGCCCGUUACACUCCCCCCUUCCUGCCCGUUACACUCCCCCCUUCCUGCCCGUUACACUCCCCCCUACCUGCCCGUUACACUCCCCCCACCUGCCCGUUACACUCCCCCAUACUGUUGCAUGCUCUGUGUCUUCAGUUCCGUUUGCGCCAUCACUUUACUACUGCUACAGCAGUGUUAUUUCUUCCCCUGCUUGGUGUGUGUGUGUGUGUGUGUGUGUGUGUGUGUGUGUGUGUGUGUGUGUGUGUUUACAUUGCUGGAUUAUUUGAUCAGAUGCUGUUUGUUGUAUGAGGCGGUUUUCUGGUAAUGAGAGCAGACUUUCUCUGAGUGGGAAUGAAUGAAUGAAUGAAUGAAUGAAUGAUUCAGCCCAUAGUCAUCCAUUUGAAGUACAUGGCUCUGAUUCAGCCAAUGGUAGUUGUACAAACAGACCACGGGCUUUGUGAUUCUGCAACCUUCCCCGUCAGCAGGAACUUUCCCUGCAGUGUGGAAAAGAUUCUGAGUUUCCCCUGAGUGUGAUGUGAACUGGUGUGAGACUGAACUUUGCAGCAUACUGUAUUUGGACUGUGUGUGUGGGGGGGUGGGGAGAGAGGGAGUUGUGUGUGUUUUUCUGUUGUAGGUAAGUGUGUGAGAGGGAGGUAGGAGAGAGAGACCCCUGGCGACGGUAGAAUCUCGG